CGUAUGUUCACAACGACUUCGAUGAUAAGAGAGCUACUACAGCUCUGUAUGAACCCACCUUCUCGUGGAACGAGAGCGUAUUUUCCGACAGUCGCAGAGCAAUUUGCCAACAGUCUAACUCAUGGACUCGGGAUAGUGCCAGCUGUGUUCGGGACAGGUUUCAUGAUGCAACGAGCUCAAACAUGUGGACAGCUGCUUAGUGCUUUCGUAUUUGGAUUCGGUCUUGUCCUUCUGCUUUUCGCAUCUACAAGUUUUCACUUGUAUUCUCUGUUUCACUGGCGAAAACGAUGGUUUCACACCUUGCAAGUGUGUGACAGAAGUAGCAUCUACUUCUAUAUCGCUUCGUCCUACACGCCCUGCCGAGACAAGCUUCAGCUGCGGCAAGAGGAAU